rnacentral:rRNA from 1 species
AACGAACGCUGGCGGCAGGCCUAACACAUGCGAGUCGAGCGAGGACUUCGGUUCUAGCGGCGGACGGGUGAGUAACGCGUGGGAAUGUGCCCUUCUCUACGGAAUAGCCCUGGGAAACUGGGAGUAAUACCGUAUACGCCCUUUUGGGGAAAGAUUUAUCGGAGAAGGAUCAGCCCGCGUUGGAUUAGGUAGUUGGUGGGGUAAUGGCCUACCAAGCCGACGAUCCAUAGCUGGUUUGAGAGGAUGAUCAGCCACACUGGGACUGAGACACGGCCCAGACUCCUACGGGAGGCAGCAGUGGGGAAUCUUAGACAAUGGGGGCAACCCUGAUCUAGCCAUGCCGCGUGAGUGAUGAAGGCCUUAGGGUUGUAAAGCUCUUUCAGCUGGGAAGAUAAUGACGGUACCAGCAGAAGAAGCCCCGGCUAACUCCGUG